UAAUUGAAAGAGAAAUACGUCGAAGUAUAUAGAUUCCAGUUGUUAAAAUCGGGCUGAUAGGAUAUGAUAUAUAAACUACGCAAGGUAUGUUUAUACCAGAAACACUAAGAAGCUGUAUGAUCGAGACGGACGUAUCUUCCUAUUUACAAACUUCAUCUACCGGACAGGUAUAAUGAAAAAUGGUCUGGAUUUAUAGGAAAAAUAUGCGAUUUCCAUGUUACACCAUUAAUCA